rnacentral:rRNA from 1 species
UGGGGAAUUUUGGACAAUGGGGGAAACCCUGAUCCAGCCAUCCCGCGUGUGCGAUGAAGGCCUUCGGGUUGUAAAGCACUUUUGGCAGGAAAGAAACGUCAUGGGUUAAUACCCCGUGAAACUGACGGUACCAGCAGAAUAAGCACCGGCUAACUACGUGCCAGCAGCCGCGGUAAUACGUAGGGUGCAAGCGUUAAUCGGAAUUACUGGGCGUAAAGCGUGCGCAGGCGGUUCGGAAAGAAAGAUGUGAAAUCCCAGAGCUCAACUUUGGAACUGCAUUUUUAACUACCGGGCUAGAGUGUGUCAGAGGGAGGUGGAAUUCCGCGUGUAGCAGUGAAAUGCGUAUAUAUGCGGAGGAACACCGAUGGCGAAGGCAGCCUCCUGGGAUAACACUGACGCUCAUGCACGAAAGCGUGGGGAGCAAACAGG